AUUGAACGCUGGCGGCAGGCCUAACACAUGCAAGUCGAACGAGUGGCGGACGGGUGAGUAAUGUCUGGGAAACUGCCUGAUGGAGGGGGAUAACUACUGGAAACGGUAGCUAAUACCGCAUACCAUCAGAUGUGCCCAGAGGGGAUUAGCUAGUUGGUGGGGUAACGGCUCACCAAGGCGACGCUCCCUAGCUGGUCUGAGAGGAGGACCAGCCACACUGGACAGGAGACCCGGUCCAGAAUCUUACGGGAGGCAGCAGUUGGGAAUAUGGAACAAUGGGCGCAAGCCUGAUGCAGCCAUGCCGCGUGGAUGAAGAAGGCCUUCGGGUUGUAAAGUACUUUCAGCGGGGAGGCGUUACCCGCAGAAGAAGCACCGGCUAACGCCGUGCCAGCAGCCGCGGUAAUAC
rnacentral:rRNA from 1 species